CUACGGGUCGCUGCAGUGGGGAAUAUUGGACAAUGGGGGAAACCCUGAUCCAGCAAUGCCGCGUGUGUGAAGAAGGCCUUAGGGUUGUAAAGCACUUUCAGUAGUGAGGAAAAGUUUAAGGCUAAUACCCUUGAACCCUGACGUUAACUACAGAAGAAGCACCGGCUAACUUCGUGCCAGCAGCCGCGGUAAUACGAAGGGUGCAAGCGUUAAUCGGAUUUACUGGGCGUAAAGCGCGCGUAGGCGGUUUGAUAAGUCGGAUGUGAAAGCCCCGGGCUCAACCUGGGAAUUGCAUUCGAUACUGUCAGGCUAGAGUAUGGUAGAGGGAAGUGGAAUUCCACAUGUAGCGGUGAAAUGCGUAGAUAUGUGGAGGAACACCAGUGGCGAAGGCGACUUCCUGGCCCAAUACUGACGCUGAGGUGCGAAAGCGUGGGGAGCAAACAGGAUUAGAUACCCUAGUAGUC
rnacentral:rRNA from 1 species